CUUGACGCAGAUUGGCUGGAGCACAGGCGUAUGACGAGAUAAUCAGGACGGAGCAACUGAACUACUGUAGAUCGACAUCACCAUAUCUAAAGAUGCACCAACCAACUGUUCAAAACCUGAAUGGUUCUAUUCACCACACACUUUGCC